rnacentral:tRNA from 1 species
CCGCUCGGUGGCGAGGUUCACGCCGGCCGUGAGCACGCCGGGCGCGCGCUUCAGGGCGCGUUCCACCCGCGCCGAGCAGU